rnacentral:lncRNA from 1 species
GCGCCACAACCCGGAGCGCCGCCGUCGCCGCUGGAUCCCCCGGACCAGGAUCGUCGUGGGACCGCCGGAUCGUCGCCGCCGCGAGGACCGCGAGCCGAAACGCCGCCGGACCGCCGUCGCUCGGACCCGCCGUCCCGUCGAAUCCAGGCCCGCGGGCCCCCGGUCCACGGCGGCCGGAUCGCGGCCUCGGCGCGGCGCACCGGCGAGCGGCAGACACUUUAACUCUUGAACAAAGUUUUCAAUAAACCCGGGUACAACG